GGAAGCCCCUCACGAUUGUGGAUCAUCCUUGGUACUGCCCCUCAGUCACACCCACAGCUUUCAGCCUGAUGAAUGAUUGUGCAGCAGGUGUGGCAAAAGUAGAGGUGGAGCUGAUCUCCUGUUGCAGCUUCCCUCUGGUGGGAUCCAACAAAAAGGCAGAUGACACAAGAGCUGAGUUGAUGUAACCUGUCCAAGUCAGCCUCCCGAGACAUAUAGCAGAGUGAUGGGUGGAGACGUGAUCUGGAAGGGCAGACAGAAGAUAUUCAACCCAUUGUCCAUUCUGUAUUUAUAGAUACAUUAAACCAUCUCUUAUCCUUUUGAA